rnacentral:rRNA from 1 species
ACGUAGGAAUCUGCCUAGUAGUGGGGGAUAGCCCGGAGAAAUUCGGAUUAAUACCGCAUAAGCCCUAAGGGGGAAAGCAGGGGAUCUUCGGACCUUGCGCUAUUGGAUGAGCCUGCGUCGGAUUAGCUUGUUGGUGGGGUAAAGGCCUACCAAGGCAACGAUCCGUAGCUGGUCUGAGAGGAUGAUCAGCCACACUGGAACUGAGACACGGUCCAGACUCCUACGGGAGGCAGCAGUGGGGAAUAUUGCACAAUGGGCGCAAGCCUGAUGCAGCCAUGCCGCGUGUGUGAAGAAGGCUCU